UACAGAGGUCUCAAGCGUUGUUCGGAAUUAUUGGGCGUAAAGAGCUCGUAGGCGGUCUGUCGCGUCUGCUGUGAAAACUCAGGGCUUAACCCUGAGCUUGCAGUGGGUACGGGCAGACUAGAGUGCGGUAGGGGAGACUGGAAUUCCUGGUGUAGCGGUGAAAUGCGCAGAUAUCAGGAGGAACACCGGUGGCGAAGGCGGGUCUCUGGGCCGUAACUGACGCUGAGGAGCGAAAGCAUGGGGAGCGAACAGG
rnacentral:rRNA from 1 species